GUUGAACCUGUUCUGCCUGUACCGCAAACCGACACUGGUAGGCGAGGAGAGUAUCCUCAGGCGAACGAGAGAACCUUCGUUAAGGAAUUAGGCAACAUGUACCCGUAACUUAGGGAGAAGGGUAGCCCGCGAUGAUGUUGUCAUACGAUGAUGUCAUUGUGGGUCGCAGAUGAGAGGCUCUAGCGACUGGUUAACUAAACCACAGGUCUCUGCGAAGCCGCAAGGCGACGUAUAGGGGCUGACACUUGCCCAGUGCUGGAAGGUUAAAGGGAGAGGUUAGCGCAAGCGAAGCUUUGAACUGAAGCCCCAGUGAACGGCGGCGGUAACUAUAACCGUCCUAAGGUAGCGAAAUUCCUUGUCAGGUAAGUUCUGACCCGCACGAAUAGUGUAACGACUGGAGCACUGUCUCAACGAGGGACUCGGCGAAACUGAAUUAAUGGUGAAGAUGCCAUUUACCCGCGCCCGGACAAAAAGACCCCGUGGAGCUUUACUGUACCUUGGCAUUGCGCUAGGGCUUUGACUGUGUAGCAUAGGUGGGAGGCUUAGAAGCUGGUGCGCUAGCAUCGGUGGAGCCGUCAGUGAAAUACCACCCUGUUGGAGUUUUGGCCCUAACUGUACUCCGUAAUCCGGAGACGAGACAGUGCCAGGCGGGCAGUUUGACUGGGGCGGUCGCCUCCUAAAAUGUAACGGAGGCGCCCAAAGUUUCCCUCAGGCUGAAUGGAAACCAGCCGUUGAGUGUAAAGGCACAAGGGAGAUUGACUGUAAGACCUACAAGUCGAGCAGAGACGAAAGUCGGGCUUAGUGAUCCUACUGAUCUUGGUGGAAAGGCAGUAGCUUAACGGAUAAAAGCUACCCCGGGGAUAACAGGCUAGUGAGGCCCAAGCGUCCAUAGCGACGGCCUCGCUCGGCACCUCGAUGUCGGCUCGGCGCAUCCUGGGGCUGGAUAAGGUCCCAAGGGUUGGCCUGUUCGGCCAUUAAAGCGUUACGUGAGCUGGGUUCAAACCGUCGUGAGACAGGUUGGUCUCUAUCCGGCGUGGGCGCAGGGGAUUUGAGAGGAGCUGUUCUUAGUACGAGAGGACCGGAAUGGACGUACCUCUGGUGUGCCAGUUGUUCCGCCAGGAGCAUCGCUGGGUAGCCACGUACGGCAAAGAUAACCGCUGAAAGCAUCUAAGUGGGAAACUUGCCUCAAGAUGAGAUCCCCCCGAAGACCGCCAGUAGACUACUGGUUUGAUAGGCGACAGGUGUAAGGCCGGCAACGGUUUUAGCUAAGUCGUACUAACGGUCGUUUGGCU
rnacentral:rRNA from 1 species